rnacentral:rRNA from 1 species
CGGCAAUAGCUCAAAUUUGAAAUCUGGCUCUUUCAGGGUCCGAGUUGUAAUUUGCAGAGGGCGCUUUGGCGUCGGCAGCAGCCUAAGUUCCUUGGAACAGGUCAUCAUAGAGGGUGAGAAUCCCGU